GAAAUGCGAUAAGCAAUGCGAAUUGCAGAUUUCCGCGAAUUAUCAGAUCUUUGAACGAAAAUGGAGCCGCAGGGAUAUCCUUUCGGCAUGUCUGUUUCAGUGUCUGAGAGGUUUCAAACAAAUCUUAAUGUGAUUGAAGGGUUGCUUGAGAGUACUUGCUACUCCCUUACAAAUCUUCUCUCAUGAAAGAUGGGUGAGUGGAUCUUUCGGUCCAAUGAAGUGGUCACAUCACUCGCAUGUGAUUUCAUUGGAAAUCACCGAAUUAUUCGUAUACUCACCGUAACAAAAUAACCAAAAUCUCCAUACCCUGCAUCUGAGAUAGGCAAGAUCACCCGCUGAACUUAA
rnacentral:misc_RNA from 1 species